UACGUAGGGUGCGAGCGUUAAUCGGAAUUACUGGGCGUAAAGCGCGUGUAGGCGGCUUUGCAAGUCGGAUGUGAAAGCCCACGGCUCAACCGUGGAAGUGCAUCCGAAACUGCAUGGCUCGAGUCUCGGAGAGGAAGGUGGAAUGCUUGGUGUAGAGGUGAAAUUCGUAGAUAUCAAGCAGAACACCUGCGGCGAAGGCGGCCUUCUGGACGAUGACUGACGCUGAGACGCGAAAGCGUGGGGAGCAAACAGG
rnacentral:rRNA from 1 species